AUUGAACGCUGGCGGAAUGCUUUACACAUGCAAGUCGAGCGGCAGCGCGGGGCAACCUGGCGGCGAGCGGCGAACGGGUGAGUAACACAUCGGAACGUGCCCAGGAGUGGGGGAUAGCCCGGCGAAAGCCGGAUUAAUACCGCAUACGAACUGAGGUUGAAAGCGGGGGACCGAAAGGCCUCGCGCUCGUGGAGCGGCCGAUGGCAGAUUAGGUAGUUGGUGGGGGUAAAGGCCCACCAAGCCUGCGAUCUGUAGCUGGUCUGAGAGGACGACCAGCCACACUGGGACUGAGACACGGCCCAGACUCCUACGGGAGGCAGUAGUGGGGAAUUUUGGACAAUGGGCGCAAGCCUGAUCCAGCCAUUCCGCGUGCAGGACGAAGGCCUUCGGGUUGUAAACUGCUUUGUACGGAGCGAAAGGGUCCUGCCUAAUAACGUGGGGCGAUAUGACGGUACCGUAAGAAUAAGACACGGCUAACUAACGUGCCAGCAGCCGCGGUAA
rnacentral:rRNA from 1 species